rnacentral:rRNA from 1 species
UACGGAAGGCAGCAGUGGGGAAUAUUGCACAAUGGGCGCAAGCCUGAUGCAGCCAUGCCGCGUGUAUGAAAAAGGCCUUCGGGUUGUAAAGUACUUUCAGUCGUGAGGAAGGUGUUAAGGUUAAUAACCUUAGCAAUUGACGUUAGCGACAGAAGAAGCACCGGCUAACUCCGUGCCAGCAGCCGCGGUAAUACGGAGGGUGCGAGCGUUAAUCGGAAUUACUGGGCGUAAAGGGCACGCAGGCGGUUAAUUAAGUUGGAUGUGAAAUCCCCGGGCUUAACCUGGGAAUGGCAUUCAAGACUGGUUAGCUAGAGUCUUGUAGAGGGGGUUAGAAUUCCAUGUGUAGCGGUGAAAUGCGUAGAGAUGUGGAGGAAUACCGGUGGCGAAGGCGGCCCCUGGACAAAGACCUGACGCUCAUGUGCGAAAGCUGGGGAGCAAACAGGGAUUAGAUACCCGU